rnacentral:rRNA from 1 species
GUGGGGAAUAUUGGGCAAUGGGCGAAAGCCUGACCCAGCAACGCCGCGUGAAGGAAGAAGGUUUUCGGAUCGUAAACUUCUAUCCUUGGUGAAGAUAAUGACGGUAGCCGAGAAGGAAGCCCCGGCUAACUACGUGCCAGCAGCCGCGGUAAUACGUAGGGGGCAAGCGUUGUCCGGAAUGAUUGGGCGUAAAGGGCGCGUAGGCGGCCUGGUAAGUCUGGAGUGAAAGUCCUGCUUUUAAGGUGGGAAUUGCUUUGGAUACUGUCGGGCUUGAGUGCAGGGGAGGUAAGUGGAAUUCCCGGUGUAGCGGUGAAAUGCGUAGAGAUCGGGAGGAACACCAGUGGCGAAGGCGACUUACUGGACUGUAACUGACGCUGAGGCGCGAAAGUGUGGGGAGCAAACAGGAUUAGAUACCCUUGUAGUCC